rnacentral:tRNA from 1 species
CAUUGAGAAGCUUCUAUAGCAUUAGCCUUUUAAGUUGAAGAAGAAAAUUGUUUCCUCAAUGA